CCUACGGGGGGCUGCAGUGGGGAAUAUUGGGCAAUGGGCGCAAGCCUGACCCAGCAACGCCGCGUGAAGGAAGAAGGCUUUCGGGUUGUAAACUUCUUUUAAGAGGGAAGAGCAGACGACGGUACCUCUUGAAUAAGCCACAGCUAACUACGUGCCAGCAGCCGCGGUCAUACGGAGGUGGCAAGCGUUGUCCGGAUUUACUGGGUGUAAAGGGCGUGCAACCGGGAAGACAAGUCAGAUGGGAAAUCUCGCGGCUCAACCGCGGACCUGCCUUUGAAACUGGUGUUCUUGAGUACCGGAGAGGUCAUCGGAAUGCCUGGUGUAGCGGUGAAAUGCGUAGAUAUAAGGAAGAACACCAGUGGCGAAGGCAGAUGACUGGACGGCAACUGACGGUGAGGCGCGAAAGCGUGGGGAGCAAACAGGAUUAGAUACCCGGGUAGUC
rnacentral:rRNA from 1 species